GCAGGCAGCAGCGGGGAGGGCCCCGCCGGGCCGCCGCCGCCGACAGACGCGGUGCUCCCAGCACAUUUGUGCCGCCGCAUUUUCCUUCUGGUCGAAGAGGUUGGCACCGACUGCGGCCAUCAGGGACUGCGGGAGCCGCGCAAGGAGGCGGCCUGGCGCUUCGGCCGAUGCGCGGCGCUUGGACUUGGCAGGUGCCGAUGCCUUGUCCAGCUCCGCCGCGGGCUCGCUGUCCGGCGUGGGGCACAUCGCUUCGUAUCUCCCUAGCUGUAAAAUGGGGAGAAGGAUUCUUCCUCCUGGCUGUGGCUUGAAGUGAGAUCCAUUACCUACUUGAGCAAACUCCGCCGAGUGAGGAGAGCCUGCAGGCAAAGAUCUCCUGCCUUGAAAGCACAUGCCCCACUUACUGUAGCUGAGAAAAUCUCUGCAAUAGCUGCCAGUAGCACGUGGCCUUGGAAGCACACUUUUUGGCCCGUGUGCCACAAGUUAAGGCCUGCUCCCCAUCCUUUCUCAGGUGCCAUCCUCAGAGGCAUAUCUGAAUGUGAGGGAGGCUCAAGCCUCUGGCCUCAUGGAGCUAGGUUAACCUUUCCUUGGCCCUACGACCCUUGCAGAUUUAUAUGGAGGGGAAUAAAAGCCCUGAAUUCAAUGCUGGCUGCAGAGCCAGGGAAGGGUUAACCUGGCCCUUGGCACUGACACCUCCUCUGGUAGCAUCAUCCUGCCCUCGCUCUGCUCCACUUGGCUGGAGGCUCAAAGCCCGCUGCCCCCAUUCCAGCAUCUCCUUUUACUGUGUGCCUGGGCCUCGUGUGCCACUUGUGGGACAUGUGCUGUGCAUUGGCCACCUGUGGCCCAAAGUGGAUGACUGACUCUUUCCAGGAGAGGGCAGAGUACAUGAACACUUCCUAUUUCAUUAUCAACUCUAUUUAUCCCCCUCGCUCAUGUACUUAUGGUACGUGACUUUAUUAUUCACAGGCUUCAAGUCAGACUUUUGGAGACCAAAUAUUUGACAUCAUCCCUUGAAGAAGUGUUUAAAUUGAGUUCUGAAGGUAUAUUGUCUACAUGCGCAUAGGAAAGCUUGUAAAAGCAGUUUGAGCUAUGCUGGUACAUGUCUUUUCCUCUGAAAUAUAACAACUGAUCCAAAACAAGUAAGAAGCGGUGCGAUAAAAACAGGCCUCGAAUAAAGUUACAGACGUGAAUGUAUCCGCAAUGCAUUUCCAUAGCAGCGUGAUGAACAAUUGACCUCAAGUCAGAAUUGCAGUUGACAUGGUGAUGCACUGAAACAACUGACCACAUUGCUCACACUUGUACAAGCUACGUGUUAAUGCACCAAACACAUCCAGUGCUGGAGAGGAGGCAGGCACUUGCUGCAUAGAUUCAACUUCAUCGGCCUACGCGUUGUUGGUGUCUAGAAGCCUAUUUACCAGCUCUUUAACGAGGAAGAACACUCCUUGCCAUCCCCUUCCUCUCCCCCUCCCCACCCCUGUUCAGGAUGGCACAGGGAGAAAUCCUCCCAAGAAAUUUCUGUUGAAAUCAAUCACUGUUGUGACCAAGGGCUACUGAGUUUGGGGCCCUGUGGAAUUACAGGUCUCCCUUGAGAGCCAUGGGGUCUGAUUCUCCACUCAAUCCCAGAGGCCCUUAACCUGGAAGCAAGCACAGGGUUUUUCCUAAGGGGUCUACCAUAGGCACAAGAUGGAGCACCUGCCAGGUGGCUUGUCCAGUGGGCAGAGAAGGAAACUAGCUUUCAAAGGGUCUUGGGGUCUCUUCCCAGCUUUGCCACUGACUUGCUGGCUGGCCUUUUCACACCUCUCCAUCUCGCAUUACCUCCUUCACUAGGGUAUUGCAAGGCUUAAUUAAAAAGUAAUGUUUGGGAAGCACUUUUGAGGUCCUUGAAUGAGAAGGGCCAAAGAUUAUUACUCUGAGUUUCAGAUUGCUAGCUCCACUCUUGAAUCAGAGUGCUGCAGGGCUGACCCCCAUGCACCAAAGCAAAUAAAGGUUUCCAGGGAAGGA